UCUGAUGCGUGUCAGCUGCGUGGCGGCUGCGUCUCGUUUUCUGUCUUUACACACCAGAACCGUGCCAGACGCGGCGCUGGCGCGCUGCUGCUGCUGUAGGUGACAUAGGGAGGCCUCCGACAGACCAGGCUCUUGUCUUCACGACAACAUUUUCAACUUUUUUCACACACCUAUACCUUCCAAAAUCCGAAAAAUGGCAUAUAUUCACUCCGGAGUAACCUUACCAGGAGGAGACAGAUGGAGAUUUGGAGUUCAUUUAAAGAUAUUUAAGAGGAACAAAGAAGUAGAAAGGAAAAGUGCCAUCUAAAACAACAGGGCAAAUGGUACAGAAGAAACUGGUUGAAAUGAACCCAAGUUGCCACUCUUCUUUGCAAAGUGAAGGAUUUUCAGUGGAAUUUCUGAAAUUCUGUUUCAGUGACUGGCAGAAACAAAAGGAGCCUGAAAGAGAAGAGGGAGAAACAAGUGGGGCAUUACAUAUCCCAAAAAAUACAAGAUA